rnacentral:tRNA from 1 species
UCCCUGGUGGUCCAGUGGUUAGGACUCCAAGCUUCCACCACAGCAGGCACAGGUUCAGUUCCUGGUCAGGGAA